rnacentral:misc_RNA from 1 species
GUAUUGUAUUGCGUUAAGCGCGGUAUACAUUCCAUGAGACUUUGUUACAGCGUGUGUGUGUAAAUACAUAGAACCACGGCAGGGGGCCAGAGCCCCCAGGCUGCAGAACUACAGAGGGUGCACAGGUGUGAAUGGAUGUGCAAACAGAGCGUGCACAUGUCCCCGUUUGAGGACCAGCAACAACUCGUGUUGACAAUUCGGUAAUGAUCCUUCCGCAGGUUCACCUACGGAAA